AACCUAAGUAGAAAGAUGAGAUUAGGCGCAGUUUGUUGAGAAAACAGAAAAAAUCAUUUGGGAUUUAAUUUGUUUUGUUUUCUCGAGAAAAAAUAUUUACCCUUCGAACGCAACGAAUAGGAUAUAACAGAAGUUGGCCUCUGCUGUGAAGAAGCAGAUUUUUACCGUGAAAUGACUUUCGGGAAAGAAAAAUGUGAAGCGUUUAUGAUGCGGCGUGAGAAUUCUUCUCAUAGUUGAAAUCUGAUGUGAUACUGAGUUGAAAAUGGACAAAUUUAUAAAAAGGAGCAGCCUCCAUUGUUUACAGAGGUUGACAUCAAUGAUUUGGAGAGACAGGUUACGGAGGAGGAGGGGGGUGGAUUUGGUUUCACACUGGAUGACAUUGAGGAGGAUGAGGAGUCAUUGCUAGUGCCAGGUGCAACUAGAGGUAGAGCUACAUCCAGGAUGGAGGACGAGCCACAGUCUAAGCCAGUCAUACUGAGUGAGGAGGCACAAUCACCCCCACAACAGACAUCUAGGACUAGACCCUCUAGUUCUACCUUUCCCCUAGUUUUUACUAGAGCUGGGAAGAGGAAGAUGUAAUUGUAUUGAUUUAUUUACUUUUAGUUCUACAAAAACUAUUUACUAUUUUGCUUCCAGCCAUCAGCAUUCCUCAUGAGGAUGCGAUUUUGUACCCUCUUUGCAUUUAAAUACAUCUAGACUCAGCUUGUUUCUU